UCGUCAGGUGGGAUAAUCCUUACCUGUUACUCCUUUUGGAGUGCAGAUGAGAAAAUGAUGAUUGGAGUUCGCAUGAUACGUGAUUAUACGUCUCUGCGUAAUCAGAGCCUGCAAAAAGACAAAAAACAAUAGAUGCUGGCAUGAUUCAGAG
rnacentral:snoRNA from 1 species